UUGCGCAAGACGGGAAAUAGUUAUUGCUUUGCGUGGAAGUGUUUGUUAAUAGAGCCUGUAAAACAGUUCUAAGAAUUACCACACAGCAAGUUGAAAACCAUAUAUGGAAAAGGUUAUCUAAAGGUAACCGAGGAAGACUUCAGCCUUCAGCCUCAACGACCAUCAGGAGGCAGAAAAAGACCCCCUAACAACAACCGAGACAUGCGCAGAUUGCUCCACGAAUGCGGAACUGAAGGACUGAUAAAAAGAGGGUGUUUCAAAUGAGAGGCGCGGCAGUUGGCGGAACAUAGACUCCCCUGCCGCCCAGCGCUGUCUUUGCUCAUAUUCUACUUGCUACAAUUAAUAAAUUUUUAUUGGAUUAUGAUCCAUUGUGGUCUCAAUUUAUAACAAUUCUUGGUGCCGUGACUCGGAUAAGGAACGGUAGACUUUGGUCCUCCGGGGAGGCGCGCCCCGCGACAAUUCGCGGCCCUGCGACCAACAGCCUACUUCAACCUUACCGACGAACCUAAAUUUUAGAAUAGUGAGCAAAGGAAAACCGGUAAAAUCCCAUAAAAUUUCUGUGCACGGGAGUCCGGACGAAGACGCAGGACGCUUAAAGCUGCGAAGUGGGAGGCCUAUGUACACAGGCAGAAAACCCGAAACAGCUAUUCUCCUGAAGAAUUCCCUUGCUGCCGAGAAGAUGGUACACCCCGUGACUCGAAGCAACCGAGUCGACGGGCGAGGCAGAAGAGAAACCAACUGUGGAGAAAUGAAUCAGAAAAAUGGGAUGCAAAGGCAAUCAUGGCUGAACUUCCCCAGGACUGGUAAGAAUUUACAAAAAUUAAUUAAAAGAUUAACGAACACCCUUUUUCCUGGUAUACCGUUAAUUGUGCUAUUGAUAAUAACCCAAGCAGAAGGAGGAAACCCACAUGAACCAUUUAAGUGGGAACUAAUAUCUUGGGAAGGAUCGAAAACAAUAGCCACUUUUAACAGCCCAGGGCCACCUGAAUUCAUAGUAGAACUUUGUGAUUUAGUAUCGAUACCUUGUGAAAAAGGACCUCCAUUCUAUAUAUGCCCGGCCUCUGGACAGCCUUACUGCAAUUAUCCCGGGCACUAUUAUUGUGGUUAUUGGGGAUGUGAGACAAUAGCCUCGGGCUGGACAGUAAAGACUCCUGAUAAAUAUAUAAAAGCAGCCUGGACCCCUAAUGGAUGUGUACCCGAAAAUACAGGUGUAGAUCUUACAGGUCUGCGUGA